CACCUAUCGUCCCACUCGAUUUUCUUUCCCCCCCUACCGGUUUUCUCCCUCACAGUUUUCUCCCUCCUCUGGCUUGCAUCUCACGCCGGCAUCCAGCGCCACCGAUGCCGAUCUCCAGCCUUUGUCCGGCCCAUGGAUCCCGAUGUGGAGCUCCACUGCGGCCCGAUCUGACGUGGGAGCGGCCAGAUCCGUGCGUCUCCGCCUCGCUCCGCGCGCCUCCAUGGUCCGCCGUCUUCUCGAGCGCCGGUGCCGCGCUCAGCCGCCGCCGUCCCAUGCCAUGGUUGCCUCCCUCCAGAACGACCUGCCAUGGCCGCCUCCCUGCCUCUCCCGCAAGUGGGCCUCUGCACGACCAGAUCCGUUCCUCUGCGCCUCGCUCCGCGCGCCAUGAUGGUCCUCCGUCUUCCCGAGCGCCGGCGCCGUGCGCAGCCGCCGCCGCCCCAUGCCAUGGUCGCCUUCCUCCAGAAUGCCGUGCCAUGGCCGCCUCCCUGCCUCUCCCGCAAGUGGGCCUCUGCGCCCCCGGCCUAGCAGAUUAAUGGAGGGCGCUGCCGACGUCGGGACAUGCCUCGGUUCACCUGCUUCCUGAUGUCCAAUUAUUUUUUGUUGUUGCUAUAUUCAACCUCAUCUCUGAAAGCCUACACCUUCCUGUGCUGUUGCUAUAUUCACGAGUUUGACAGGAGAAGGGACUGGAGGCAUACAGUAGGCAGAACAGUGGAACAAAACUCAGCUUCAAUUAAUCGACAUGGUGUUCGCAAAUGGAAAGUCGUUCCUGCUGCUACGGUUCAUUGGUUCAAGUCCGACAUUGAGCUCACAAUGGACGUUGAGUUGGUGGACACAAUGGACAAUAAGCCCAUGAAGCUCCAGAAGUCCAGAUUUGGAUACGGUAUUUCCCUUUCUAUCUAAAAUCUACCAUAGAAAUUUGUACUAGCUGCAUAUACAUCAAAAGAGGUGGCACACUUGAAACUACUUCAGGAACAGUUUAGUUGUCAAAGGCAAAUAACCAUCUUUAGUGGUCGUUACAUUAAACCUAGGACGAGAUGCAUAUAGAGUUCUGUUAUGGCUACUACGAUACAGAUGUCAACGCAAAGUAUUUCCUGUUUUCUAUGAAAAGGUUUACAUUAUAAGGAUAAUCGAGUAUAAUAAUAUGGAUGAAAAUAUUGCUCUCCUGCUAGGUCUUAGAAGUUAGAAUCCACAAAGUUAGGUUAAUUAUAGUAAUUAUGACCCCACUUAUGCCUUCUCUUUACGCAUUAAGAUGUGUCGCUCCUUUAAAAAAAUAAGAUGUUGAUUCUUGUGUUUUGAAGUCUUGGAUGUGACUAAUUGUAUGACAUGCCGAUAUCUGGCGAGCCUGGUGUGUUCUGUUUUCUCACACCCGCCGCCGUCGUACAAGGUGAUUGUUGGACGUGAGCGAGCUUCAGGAGCACUUCCUACAGGUUGUCGGCCGUUCACAAGUACUUCCUUUCAAGCCGAAUGGGCUCUUUAGUAAGAUGCAUCAUCUUUUUUGAAUGGAACAAGAUUGACCAUAUUGUUUGAAGUGAAAAAGAUUCAUUAUGAUCUACCCAUUACUUGAUUUGAAGUUUUCAACUGCUAGAUGUAGGAGGAGGCAGUAGUGGCUGGAAUCUUGGUGCUAAAUGACACAUACUGUCCUCACCCGAUUUCUAAGAGGAAAAAAAAACCCAAAGAACAAAUACUCAUUCAAACAUUUUUUGAUUCAGUGCUCCAUGAGCAUUUUAUCUAUCAUUUGUUUUAAAAUUUUGAGUUUUCAGGUCUAAAAUGGUUCAUCCCCUUUUGUGGUUGCAGUUUUACUGAUCUGGACACACCACCUUCUCUGGUCUAAAAUUUUGAGUUUUCAGGUCUAAAAUGUAACUGAUGUAAAGAUUUGUCCAUCCCUUGACAGAAUCCGACUUUUUUUCCAGCUGGUGCACUGAGGGAGGCGUUUGAUGUAGCAACUGCCUUUAAAAAACAAUGCCAUGAUUGAUUCAUUCCCCACUGGUAUAUUCAAAGUUCUAGGUCUAUACAUCAAUACAUUAUGUUCGUCCAGCGGAGGAUGCUCUUCAGUGGAAAAUUCUGAAACCUUAUUCAGCUUUGAUGAAUGAAGAGCUCAAGGGAGCAAAAGGAACAAGGAGAAAGGAGUGCUCAAGAGAAGUGAACUCAAAGUCCAAGAUGCAAUCUUCACAUAGCUCACAAAUAUUAACCAGUAAACACUACUUGAUUCGUGAUGGCAUUGGACCAGACACACAACAUCCAGUUCUAUAAUAAGUAUAUUCGUGAUUGCAUUGGACCAGACACACGGAGAUGCUCGCUUGUCGUCGAGGAGUGUAGCUUGUGAUCGAAGUUGGCGCUACAAAGCUUGUUCUCAAAACCGACAACCAACUUAUGGCGCAGGUUAUUAACUCAGAUGUUAUCGACCGAUCCAGGUUUGGUCCUCUUGUCUAGGAGAUAAAGAAGAUGAUGUGAGGCAUCGACGAGUUCUGAGUGGCUUGGGCCAGGAGAAUAGCAAACAAAGCUGCUCAGAUCUUAGCUAGGGAGGGUUGCCUUUUAAUGCAAAACUUGGUUUAGUGUUUCUACAGAUUGUAUUCAAGAUGUUGUACUGGCGGAUAAUGCCAUGAACUAAAUAAUAACAAGGCAUCAAUUUCCUUUAAAAAGUAUGUUAUCUUAUAGCAGGUGCAUCGUAUCAAAGAUACAUAUUUCAUGCAAUUAAUGUUGAACCACUAGAAUACUUAUGUUCCCGUUGCAACGCACGGGCAAUUUCCUAGUUUCUUAAAACUUGUAGGGGCCAGAAAAAUGUAUUGAAGAUCAUGACGCUCA